GAUGAACGCUAGCUACAGGCUUAACACAUGCAAGUCGAGGGGAAACGGCAUUAAGUGCUUGCACUUUUUGGACGUCGACCGGCGCACGGGUGAGUAACGCGUAUCCAACCUUCCCAUGACUAAGGGAUAACCUGCCGAAAGGCAGACUAAUACCUUAUGGUCCUCACUGACGGCAUCAGAUGUGAAGUAAAGAUUUAUCGGUUAUGGAUGGGGAUGCGUCUGAUUAGCUUGUUGGCGGGGUAACGGCCCACCAAGGCAACGAUCAGUAGGGGUUCUGAGAGGAAGGUCCCCCACAUUGGAACUGAGACACGGUCCAAACUCCUACGGGAGGCAGCAGUGAGGAAUAUUGGUCAAUGGGCGAGAGCCUGAACCAGCCAAGUAGCGUGCAGGAUGACGGCCCUAUGGGUUGUAAACUGCUUUUGUAUGGGGAUAAAGUCAAUCACGUGUGAUUGUUUGCAGGUACCAUACGAAUAAGGACCGGCUAAUUCCGUGCCAGCAGCCGCGGUAAUACGGAAGGUCCGGGCGUUAUCCGGAUUUAUUGGGUUUAAAGGGAGCGUAGGCUGGAGAUUAAGUGUGUUGUGAAAUGUAGACGCUCAACGUCUGACUUGCAGCGCAUACUGGUUUCCUUGAGUACGCACAACGUUGGCGGAAUUCGUCGUGUAGCGGUGAAAUGCUUAGAUAUGACGAAGAACUCCGAUUGCGAAGGCAGCUGACGGGAGCGCAACUGACGCUGAAGCUCGAAGGUGCGGGUAUCGAACAGG
rnacentral:rRNA from 1 species